CAGUCGCCACGGUAAAACGUAGGUGGCAAGCGUUAUCCGGAAUUAUUGGGCGUAAAGCGCGCGUAGGCGGUUUUUUAAGUCUGAUGUGAAAGCCCACGGCUCAACCGUGGAGGGUCAUUGGAAACUGGAAAACUUGAGUGCAGAAGAGGAAAGUGGAAUUCCAUGUGUAGCGGUGAAAUGCGCAGAGAUAUGGAGGAACACCAGUGGCGAAGGCGACUUUCUGGUCUGUAACUGACGCUGAUGUGCGAAAGCGUGGGGAUCAAACAGGAUUAGAUACCCCUGUAGUCCCUGUCUCUUAUAC
rnacentral:rRNA from 1 species